CAGGUGUUGUGAUAUAAUAUACGGCUGUAUUUUUUAAGUUAUUAUAUUCCUUUUAAAAUGAUAUAUAAGGUAGAAAAUAAUCAAAACGUGAACAGUUAUAAAGACAGCUUUCAUAAGAUUACUGGAUAUCAACAUACGAGGAGGGAAAUGAGGUCGUACACAUUUGUUUUUCUUCUUGCAUUUUGUCUUGUUUGUAUGCCAAAGUUAGAUGCGGCUGAAGGUUAUGCUCCACGAAAGUGUUUUCCACAAAACGACUGUGGAUUUAAUAGACCACCAUGUGUUGACUUAUGUAUCAGAAACGGAUGCAGCGGAAAUGAUGCAAAGUGCGUUGGAAACAUCAAAUGUUGUUGUAUUAAUUGUUCAUAUUGAGUUAAUUGUAAAUUAUCAGGAUUAAAUUUCCGAAUAGAAUUUUUUAGCUUCAAUUAUUUCCUUCUAGCUCUUAUGACUAUUGUUCAAAUUGUUAACGUUUAUUAUUAUUACUUUCAACAUUAAAUAAUCCAGAGUGUA